UACGGAGGAUUCGAGCGUUAUCCGGAUUUAUUGGGUUUAAAGGGAGCGUAGGCGGGUUGUUAAGUCAGUUGUGAAAGUUUGCGGCUCAACCGUAAAAUUGCAGUUGAUACUGGCGACCUUGAGUGCAACAGAGGUAGGCGGAAUUCGUGGUGUAGCGGUGAAAUGCUUAGAUAUCACGAAGAACUCCGAUUGCGAAGGCAGCUUACUGGAUUGUAACUGACGCUGAUGCUCGAAAGUGUGGGUAUCAAACAGG
rnacentral:rRNA from 1 species